rnacentral:rRNA from 1 species
AACGAACGCUGGCGGCAGGCUUAACACAUGCAAGUCGAACGAUGUAGCAAUACAUAGUGGCGCACGGGUGAGUAACGCGUGGGAAUAUACCUUAUAGUGGGGAAUAACUUUGGGAAACUAAAGCUAAUACCGCAUACGCCCGAGAGGGGAAAGAUUUAUCGCUAUAAGAUUAGCCCGCGUGAGAUUAGGUAGUUGGUGGGGUAAUGGCCUACCAAGCCUACGAUCUCUAGCUGGUCUGAGAGGAUGAUCAGCCACACUGGAACUGAGACACGGUCCAGACUCCUACGGGAGGCAGCAGUGGGGAAUAUUGGGCAAUGGAGGAAACUCUGACCCAGCCAUGCCGCGUGAAUGAUGAAGGCCUUAGGGUUGUAAAGUUCUUUCGCCGAUGAAGGUAAUGACGGUAGUCGGAGAAGAAGCCCCGGCUAACUUCGUGCCAGCCGCCGCAGUAA